rnacentral:rRNA from 1 species
CAUAGAAGGUGAUAGUCCUGUAAGUGAAGCAAUGUGGCUCCUUGGAAAGGUACCCCCAAGUACUACGGAGUAAGUGGAAGUCCGUAGGAAUCUGGGGAGAACCAUCUCCUAAGACUAAAUACUCUCUCGUAACCGAUAGUGAACAAGUACCGUGAGGGAAAGGUGAAAAGCACACCUACUAGGUGAGUGAAAUAGUACCUGAAACCGUAUGCCUACAAGCAGUUGGAGCUCCGCUUGCGGAGUGACAGCGUGCCUUCUGGAUAAUGAGCCUACGAGUUACUCGUCUGUUGCAAGGUUAAGAAUCUAAGAUUCGAAGCCGGAGCGAAAGCGAGUCCUAAUAGGGCGAUUAAGUAACAGGCGGUAGACGCGAAACCGAGUGAUCUAUCCUUGGCCAGGAUGAAGUGAGGGUAAAACCUCAUGGAGGUCCGAACUAGUGUGGGUUGAAAACCGCUUGGAUGAGGCUGAGGAUAGGAGUGAAAGGCC